UUUACAGUAUAAGUCUUUUUUUACUUAAAAUUUUAAUUUAUAUUUUUAGUAAGAAUACUAAAAUAAAAAAAAGGGACGAUAAGACCCUGAAAGCUUAAAACGAUAACUAUAAAAAUUUUUAUUUAGAAUUAUAGUGUUGUUAUUAGCUGGGGAAGUUUUUAUAAAAAAACUAUAAUUAAUUAAUACGUUGUUUUUAUGGUUCUUUAUAUAAGGAUAGUUAGAAAAAGUUACUUCAGGGAUAACAGCAUAAUAAUUUUGUAGAGUUCUUAUCGAUAAAAUUGAGUGUGACCUCGA
rnacentral:rRNA from 1 species